ensembl:lncRNA
AUCAGAAUGAUCAGGUGUGAGUUUGGACACAGAUGAGAGGGCUAUGAUUGAUCAGAAUGAUCAGGUGUGAGUUUGGACACAGAUGAGAGGGCUAUGAUUGAUCAGAAUGAUCAGGUGUGAGUUUGGACACAGAUGAGAGGGCUAUGAUUGAUCCGAUUGAUCAGGUGUGAGUGUGGACACAGAUGAGAGGGCUGUGAUUGAUCAGAAUGAUCAGAUGAGAGCAUAGGCGGAGAUCCCGGGGGGGACGGGGGGGACGUGUCCCCCCCUACCAUAAAGUUGUCCCCCCCAACAAUCAUUGAAAACUAAAAAAAAAAAUAUAUUUUUUAUUUUUUUUAUUUUAUUUUUUUUAAAUAAAAAUACGACGACACAAGCGGUGCUAAUUAUAGACGUAAAAAAGAUGUGUUUUUUAAGUGUUGAAAAAUCAUGUUCCCCCUAUUCCUCAAAGUGUUUUGGUUCACAUGCUGUUUCCAACGGGCAGGGCUACCGGCAGCUCCGUGUUUCAGUUAAUCAGCCCAGUAGCCUACACGGUCAGAUUGUCAGACUGUUUCCUCCUCUGUCCCCUGUCGCUGCCGCUAUGAUACACGAUAUGUAAAGAGAUUUACCUCAUUCUCGAACGCAGUAAGAACAUGUAAAGAAGAAGUUUUUUUCUAAACUCCAUUUACGAAGUUCCAAUCGAUAUGCACACUCGUGGCUACGGCCGAACACCACCCGUGGGAAUAUCCCUUACCUACCCCACUCGCACUCGUACUAUAUUGCUUAAGUAUACAUAAGCUUAUUAAUGGAUUGGCAUGACAACGUGAACGUUUGCCGAUAACACACGCAUGCCGGUAAUUAACACAGUUAAGAUAGCUAGCUAGAUAGUCUAGGACACUGUCCUGUCAGGGCAGGUUCAUGCUAGUUAAUAAACGUAGGUCUACAUCUCAGUGCCUCUCCAGAUUUGUUAAAUUAUCUGAAGUUAAAUUAAUGUCAUCUUUUUCUGCGGUCCAUCAACUAUGCUGGUAUUGUAAUAUGGAGUGACAGUGGCGUAGAAGGUAGAGAAGUUGUAUUGUAAUCAAAAGGUUGCUGGUUCGAAUCCCUGUUGAGCUGUUU